rnacentral:rRNA from 1 species
GACGAACGCUGGCGGCGUGCCUAAUACAUGCAAGUCGAGCGAAGUUUUUCUGGUGCUUGCACUAGAAAAACUUAGCGGCGAACGGGUGAGUAACACGUAAAGAACCUGCCUCAUAGACUGGGACAACUAUUGGAAACGAUAGCUAAUACCGGAUAACAGUAUUUCUCGCAUGAGAGAUAUUUAAAAGUUGGUUAUGCUAACACUAUGAGAUGGCUUUGCGGUGCAUUAGCUAGUUGGUGGGGUAAAGGCCCACCAAGGCGACGAUGCAUAGCCGACCUGAGAGGGUGAUCGGCCACACUGGGACUGAGACACGGCCCAGACUCCUACGGGAGGCAGCAGUAGGGAAUCUUCCGCAAUGGGCGAAAGCCUGACGGAGCAACGCCGCGUGAGUGAAGAAGGAUUUCGGUUCGUAAAGCUCUGUUGUUAGGGAAGAAUGGAUAUGUAGUAACUAUACAUGUACGAGACGGUACC